rnacentral:tRNA from 1 species
UGCCCGAUGGUGUAAUGGUAGCACAAAUGACUCUGACUCAUUCAGUCUAGGUUCGAGCCCUAGUCGGGCAA